rnacentral:rRNA from 1 species
AAACCCAUGUGAACCAUACCAAACUGUUGCCUCGGCGGGGUCACGCCCCGGGUGCGUCGCAGCCCCGGAACCAGGCGCCCGCCGGAGGGACCAACCAAACUCUUUCUGUAGUCCCCUCGCGGACGUUAUUUCUUACAGCUCUGAGCAAAAAUUCAAAAUGAAUCAAAACUUUCAACAACGGAUCUCUUGGUUCUGGCAUCGAUGAAGAACGCAGCGAAAUGCGAUAAGUAAUGUGAAUUGCAGAAUUCAGUGAAUCAUCGAAUCUUUGAACGCACAUUGCGCCCGCCAGUAUUCUGGCGGGCAUGCCUGUCCGAGCGUCAUUUCAACCCUCGAACCCCUCCGGGGGGUCGGCGUUGGGGAUCGGGAACCCCUAAGACGGGAUCCCGGCCCCGAAAUACAGUGGCGGUCUCGCCGCAGCCUCUCCUGCGCAGUAGUUUGCACAACUCGCACCGGGAGCGCGGCGCGUCCACGUCCGUAAAACACCCAACUUCUGAAAUGUUGACCUCGGAUCAGGUAGGAAUACCCGCUGAACUUAAGCAUAUCAAUAAGCGGAGGAAGCAAAUGCGACUGUGAUCCAUGGCAUAGCACUUUUUCGCGCUUGCAGAGUAUAUAGUCCGUAUCGCUUUCUCCUAUUAUCGAAAUAACCGCAUAACAGGGACAUCACGAGCAUAAUGAUAAUAUUACCAGAAAAACACCAAACACGCCUCUCUGGUCGGCUGCCGCGCAUACACCCCAUCUACCCAACUAAUUAGAGAUAUCAUAAACACUCANCAAACCGAAAUCAAGAGGAGCAUCUGGAGUGCUGUAUUGUAUGGACUAAUAUGUAUCUAUUAUCAUUAUUAUUAACAUCACGCACGUAAGCGUACACUUAACAUAGUCCAAGCACGAACACGUAAGACGGCCAG